GCCAUCCACCUUCUCCACAGAAUGUUUUCAAGCAGGGAGUUUAUUUAUAUGUUGAACUUAAAACCAAAAAAGGGAACUUCUGUUUGCAAAUGCAACUACUCAGGAUGUGACUGUAGUUCCCCAGUACAGUCACGUGACCCACUUUAUUUUUUUUUUUAAAAAGGCGCUGCAGAAGAGCUAAAUUCAGAAAAUUUGGCUGAAACCACGCUGUUGUCAAAACUUCACGAUGAACUUAUUAACAAGCUGGAUGUCAGUCCUAAUGGCAUUUCUUCUUCUCUUACAUUUUUGGAGAGCAAAGGUCUAUGCUUCUGGAAACUCAGAGGAGGAAAUAGAUUUGACGUAUGUUAUUAUAGGAGUUACUCUGGGAGUGAUUCUAACAAUCGGUUUUAUAGCAGUAAUAAUCUGCUUGAUCAAAAAACAAGUGAUUGACAUUGGAGGGGGACUGACUGAUUUUGUCAUGGCAGCAAAAUUUAACAUCUUUAAUGAUGACCUUACAUUCACCCCUUUGAUGAUUCCUCGUCCCAGUCUACAGACGUUUGCUGAAAGGUCAAACAUGGGAUCAAGCCAAAACAGAGAUGAUGUCAACGUACUUGGAAAGCAAAGUACAAAUGAUCAAUAACCCUUUUGCGAUCAACAGUUACCUGCUCUGAGGAUCAAUAGAAGUCUCUUGUGCACAGGCAGGAGUCUCACCAACACCGAUCCCUUUCUUUGUUCUUUAAUUGAAAGACUGAUUGAUUGAUUACAGGAGGAGCUCAUAGCGCAUGCUAACUUCAAUCACCUGCACACAAAAAUCCUCAACAGCACAUACCUGAAGGAAAUGUAUGAGGAAAACAAAAGAGAUGAGCUCUCCUCAUGAAUAGAUCCUGUUUAGCCCCUGACAAGUAUAUGUGUGAUUUCUAAAAUCAGUUAAAUACAGGGUAAUCAAAAAGUCAGUAAUACAUUUCAUCAGAGAAUUCAUGUCAUGCCCGUAUUUUGAGAUAGGUAAAUAGUGACUGAAGUAACUUGAAAAAAAUCAUUCAUUUGAGGUUGAAGCAAAAUAAGGCUUCCCCCCCUUUUUUUUUUUUUUCAGGAAAUGUAUGUCAUGUGUUAGUAGGAAAACAUUUCAUUCACACUAAAGUUAUAUCUCUUUUAGCUUUAGGACUGAUGUCUUUUGUUUAACUGUAGGUGGUAGUGCUAAUUUCAGCCAUUUAAAAUGAAUUGUGGUCAUUUAAAAAUGUAAAAGUCCUUUUUGAAAUAAUGUUUUCCAUGUUUUGCUUUUAGAACAUGGAAAUGAAACCAGUUUUGCAUACUCAAAAAGUUUCUGGAGAUCUGAAACAAAACAUUUCAUGUCAACAUUCCACAACCAAACUAACCUAUUUCCAAAAUUCACCCAGCUCUGUUUUACCUUAGUAUAAAACAGUGCACUGAGUUCAAUCAGAAUUUAUGAAUAAUUUCAGUCUCCCAACCCCUUCAUUCUUGUUCUAGCCUUAUACAUUCUGUUGAAUUUGAUGUCAUCAGAACUGCUUUGCCUGGCUCCAAUUACAAGCUUCUUACAGCAGGAGUGACAAGAAAAAUUAGAGCUUUGUCUCAAAAUAUUUAGAAUAAUUUAAAUAAUUUUAAAUGGUUUAAACCCAAGUUAUUUUGUAAACACAUCCCAGCUUUUACCAAACCUGUGAGCCUGUGGCUUCUGUCCCAGUUCAGAAAAUAAUGCUGUAGAUUUAAUCCCCUUCUUUUGAGAAUGCCAUGUUAUACAGAUGUUGUCAUCACAAGGUGCAUGAAAACCAGGAAGAUUUUGGUGUUUCAAGCCAGGCUUUCCUUUCAGCUUGGGGAAACAGGGCAGCAAAUGGCAUGCACGAUGAUAAUUAAUGACAGAAUUAACAGGCAUAGCUGUUAUGCUACACUAUUCCAUUGCAACUUACAAAGAACCACUAUCCAGAUGCAAAGACCACAGGCUGGAAAUAGAUUGGAUCUUCCUAAACGUUUAGCUCAGGCCGAUGUCUAUAGACAUAUGGAUGUUUUUAAUUUCUCAUCUGACUUGCAUUCCUAAAGUUAACUUUCAAACCAGUGUCUGCUCUCAGUUAUGCCAUGGGACAGAUCAUAAUAAAGUUCUUUCCAGUUCUUCA
rnacentral:lncRNA from 1 species